rnacentral:rRNA from 1 species
GAACGAAGCUGCUUAACUGAUCUUCUUCGGAAUUGACGUUUUGUAGACUGAGUGGCGGACGGGUGAGUAACGCGUGGGUAACCUGCCCUGUACAGGGGGAUAACAGUCAGAAAUGACUGCUAAUACCGCAUAAGACCACAGCACCGCAUGGUGCAGGGGUAAAAACUCCGGUGGUACAGGAUGGACCCGCGUCUGAUUAGCUGGUUGGUGAGGUAACGGCUCACCAAGGCGACGAUCAGUAGCCGGCUUGAGAGAGUGAACGGCCACAUUGGGACUGAGACACGGCCCAAACUCCUACGGGAGGCAGCAGUGGGGAAUAUUGCACAAUGGGGGGAACCCUGAUGCAGCGACGCCGCGUGAGUGAAGAAGUAUCUCGGUAUGUAAAGCUCUAUCAGCAGGGAAGAAAAUGACGGUACCUGACUAAGAAGCCCCGGCUAACUACGUGCCAGCAGCCGCGGUAAUACGUAGGGGGCAAGCGUUAUCCGGAAUUACUGGGUGUAAAGGGUGCGUAGGUGGUAUGGCAAGUCAGAAGUGAAAACCCGGGGCUUAACUCUGGGACUGCUUUUGAAACUGUCAGACUGGAGUGCAGGAGAGGUAAGCGGAAUUCCUAGUGUAGCGGUGAAAUGCGUAGAUAUUAGGAGGAACAUCAGUGGCGAAGGCGGCUUACUGGACUGAAACUGA